rnacentral:rRNA from 1 species
AUUGAACGCUGGCGGCAGGCCUAACACAUGCAAGUCGAGCGGAUGAAGGGAGCUUGCUCCUGGAUUCAGCGGCGGACGGGUGAGUAAUGCCUAGGAAUCUGCCUGGUAUUGGGGGAUAACGUCCGGAAACGGGCGCUAAUACCGCAUACGUCCUGAGGGAGAAAGUGGGGGAUCUUCGGACCUCACGCUAUCAGAUGAUCCUAGGUCGGAUUAGCUAGUUGGUGGGGUAAAGGCCUACCAAGGCGACGAUCCGUAACUGGUCUGAGAGGAUGAUCAGUCACACUGGAACUGAGACACGGUCCAGACUCCUACGGGAGGCAGCAGUGGGGAAUAUUGGACAAUGGGCGAAAGCCUGAUCCAGCCAUGCCGCGUGUGUGAAGAAGGUCUUCGGAUUGUAAAGCACUUUAAGUUGGGAGGAAGGGCAGUAAGUUAAUACCUUGCUGUUUUGACGAUACCAACAGAAUAAGCACCGGCUAACUUCGUG